CAGCGAGAAGCUGCGCAGUCGUUUGCAGUUCCAUCGCUGCCGUGGCUGGUUAACAAUUGACCGCGAAACCGUCGAAGAUGGCUCAGCGGCGAAUCCAAGUGCGGAUGAGAGAAGAAAUCGGCCACAUCCUCACGAAGAAUAAUCGCGACGUCUGCUUGAGGUUCGCGCCAGUAGCAGUGCAGCGCUCGCGAGGUGGGAAGGCUACCCGUGCAGCGCAGUCUCGACAGCGAGCAGCGUUGUGCAGCCUCUACAGCGGUCGGCGGCGGCCAGAUGAGGUGGAGGUGAGGCAAGGACUGGUUUGUCCAGUGGCGCUGGACCCGCGUCACCGUGUUUACGACGCUACUCUCCUGGAGGAGGGGAGAGUGGGGACAGAAAACACUCCUUGCAGCGCCACAUCGAAAACAAGGUGCCGUGUUUGCUUACGUUCACGUAACCACUGCAGAAUUUCCGCUGACAACUGUGGGUGUGGUUGCCCUGCCGUUGGCAACAAUACCAAUGAGGCUUUCUGCUACGUCACCUGGACGAAGGCGUGCAGUAAAUUCACACAAUCACACUACACUGCACAGAGGCUGUCCCAAACUUUAGGGUCAAAAUUGUAUAUAUAGUAGUGAAUUUUUAACUGAAUACGUUUAGAGAUUGAUUUAAUAGCUGAAAAUAAAUAUUUUGUUUAUUACUGA
rnacentral:lncRNA from 1 species